rnacentral:snRNA from 1 species
CGAACAGUCAGCUCAGAACUG